rnacentral:sRNA from 1 species
CAGGCUCAGGGGUAGGUGUUUGCAGAAAUCGAGGAUCUUCUGACUGUGUCUCCUCCUCCUCCUCCUCCUUAUCCUCCUUCUCAUCAUCAGUUGGAUUCUCGUCAUUAUCUGAAACAUCUGGAACAGGCGGUUUGGGCAGACGAAGGUGAAGGGUAGUUGGAGUCUCUUUACAAGCUUGCGAGGCAGUAGAACGGUGGGUGUUGCGGGGCAUAUUGAUGUAUUUGAUGAUAAAGGUGCGUAUUUGAUGAUAAAGGUGCGUAUUUGGAUGAAUUGGAUGAUAUUUGAAUGAUUCUAGAGAUACGUGGAUAUUUUGGUUAUUUUUGCGGUGUUUUGCUAUUAUUUUUCAGGGGGUGGCAGAAAAUUCUGUUUUCGCAAGCUUUACGUCCGCCACAAUAUUACUUAUGAAGUGGCUGGUAAAAAGCACUGGGUCGGAAUGAGAGCGGGAUGGCACGUGGAAAAUAAAGGAGAAUCAUUUCAAUCAUUUCGAUGUGGAUGGAAUUAGUAGAUGCAAAUGACUAGCUAUCGUUCCAAUUUCCUGUGCGCCGGAGGAAUGCCAAAGUAGAAAAUAGAG